UGGGGUAUAUUGCACAAUGGGCGAAAGCCUGAUGCAGCGACGCCGCGUGGGGGAGGAAGGCCUUCGGGUUGUAAACUUCUUUUGCUCUGAACAAGGCGCACCAUGGGGUGUGUUGAGUGUAGGGGUUGAUUAGCGCCGGCUAACUACGUGCCAGCAGCCGCGGUAAUACGUAGGGCGCGAGCGUUGUCCGGAAUUAUUGGGCGUAAAGGGCUUGUAGGUGGCUGGUUGCGUCUGUCGUGAAAGCUCAUGGCUUAACUGUGGGUUUGCGGUGGGUACGGGCUGGCUUGAGUGCAGUAGGGGAGGCUGGAAUUCCUGGUGUAGCGGUGGAAUGCGCAGAUAUCAGGGGGGAUACCGGUGGCGAAGGCGGGUCUCUGGGCUGUUACUGACACUGAGGAGCGAAAGCAUGGGGAGCGAACAGG
rnacentral:rRNA from 1 species